rnacentral:snoRNA from 1 species
AACCGUGAUGAGGACACUCUAAGAAGAGGUCUUUGAAUCGUUCCAUACAUCAGAGAAUGAUUCAUUGGGUCUUUGGCAAAACUGGAGAAUGUCAUUCCUAAGCUU